rnacentral:rRNA from 1 species
GACGAACGCUGGCGGCGUGCUUAACACAUGCAAGUCGAACGGAAAGGCCCUGCUUUUGUGGGGUGCUCGAGUGGCGAACGGGUGAGUAACACGUGAGUAACCUGCCCUUGACUUUGGGAUAACUUCAGGAAACUGGGGCUAAUACCGGAUAGGAGCUCCUGCUGCAUGGUGGGGGUUGGAAAGUUUCGGCGGUUGGGGAUGGACUCGCGGCUUACCAGCUUGUUGGUGGGGUAGUGGCUUACCAAGGCUUUGACGGGUAGCCGGCCUGAGAGGGUUACCGGCGACAUUGGGACUGAGGUACGGCCCAGACGCCUACGGGAGGCAGCAGUGGGGAAUAUUGCACAAUGGGCGGAAGCCUGAUGCAGCAACGCCGCGUGCGGGAUGACGGCCUUCGGGUUGUAAACCGCUUUCGCCUGUGACGAAGCGUGAGUGACGGUAAUGGGUAAAGAAGCACCGGCUAACUACGUG